AAUGUGAAAAACGCCCGCGAGCCUCAGAGAGCGAGAGAGAGAGAGAGAGAAAGCGAGCACACGAAGUGGUGGAAGGCGGGGACGAAGAGGAGGGAGAAGAAAUUGACAAGGUCGAGGAAAUGAAGGAUGAGGACAUAAGCUCAGGAGGCACCAACAACGACGCUUUCGCUCUCGCCAGAUCUUCUCCGGCCGCUAGUUCCGCUGGGGCCUCAUCUCCUGCUAUUCCAGCACAUGCUGGCACUGUGGAGUGGAUGGGCCAGACUUCUAAGGCUGGCUCCCAAUCUUUUGCUGGUUGGCAUCCCCCAAAGGCAUCCUUGAGCACAAGUGCUGCUGGCUCUGCACUUGGAUCAUCACAAGCAUCAUGUAGACCCUGGGAGAGAGGGGAUCUGCUCAGGCGCCUUGCUACAUUUGUUCCUUCAAACUGGUUUGGAAAACCCAAGGAUGCCAGUUCCUUGGCUUGUGCACGAAGAGGGUGGAUCAGUACUGGUUUGGACACGCUCGAGUGCGAAUCAUGUGGUGCAAGCUUGAAAUAUGAUCCAUCAGAUUUUGUGGUGCUUUCUGGAGCUGGUAGCUCUGGGGAAGAUUUUGCUAAGCAGCUUGAUGGAGGACAUAAAGCAUCUUGUCCUUGGAGAGGAAACAGCUGUCCAGAAAGCUUGGUGCAGUUCCCUCCUACUCCUCCAUCAGCACUCAUUGGUGGUUAUAAAGAUCGCUGUGAUGGCCUUUUGCAGUUUUCAGCCCUACCAGUUGUAUCUGCAACAGUUGUCGAGCAGAUGCAGCUUGCUCGAGGAUCCCAAAUUGACCGUUUCCUGGCUCAUUCACAGACUUAUGUAGCUGGAGAAUUGGGCUACAAAUCUGAACACGUUAGUGGAAUGGAGCCAUCCUUCAAAGACGAGAAUGUCAGCGCAUACUUUCGUGCACAGAAGCUUAUAAGUCUCUGUGGAUGGGAAUCAAGAUGGCUUCCGGAUAUUCAAGAUUGUGAAGAACAUUCUGCUCAGUCAGCUCGUAAUGGAUACUCCUCUGGUCCUGUCAAAAUCCAGGGCCGUUUGAAAGAUCCUGCUCCAAGCAAAAGGGCUUUCUCAACUUCAGCUAAUAAAAACUAUGGGAACAGUGAGGUGCCUGGCAUGGAUUUUAAAUGUGAGUCGAGGUCACCUUUGCUGGACUGUAGCUUAUGUGGUGCCACGGUCAGAAUCUGGGACUUCUUGACUGUUUCUCGUCCAGCUCGUUUAAUCCCCAAUGGCAUCGAUAUUCCUGAAACGAGCAAGAAAAUGACAUUGACGCGAGGAGCAAGUGCUGCCAGUGGAAUUAGUGGAUGGAUUGGUACUGAUGGAGCAGAGAAAGAGCGGUUUGAUGACCAUGAUGAGGCUGCAACAACUGGUAAAAGAAAAUUAACAACACACGCAAGUGUAGAUCUGAAUCUGACAAUGGGUGUUGGGUUAACCUCAGGGCCAGUGAACAUGAUGAUGGUAUCAGAACCAUACCAAGAUGCUGAUAUGGGAGGAGAUUUAAAAAUUGGUCAGCCUUCUGGGAGUGAGGUUGGUGAUCGUGCAGCUUCAUUUGAAUCAAGAGGCCCAGGUACUCGUAAACGAAGUGCAGAUGAAGGUGGAAGUACAGUUGACCGGCCACAGUUAAGGGUACACCAGGCAGACAGCUUUGAAGGUACUGUUAUUGAUCGUGAUGGUGAUGAAGUAAAUGACAGCAAGCAGUAUUCAGCUGGCCCUUCGAAGCGCAUUCGAGAAUCUGAUGCCUUUGAAACAUAUCGUUUCUCGUAUCGCAGAGACUCGUCUGAAGCUGGUCCUAGCCAUCCCCUGGGUUAUGACUUAGAAAUGGAUGCAAAUAGAGGUGAUCAAUUUGACCAAAUGAAUGAUCAUAUCAUUGCUUUCCCAUCAACCAGAGCUUCCACUCAUGUGUCCUCUGUUAUUGCUAUGGACAUAGAAUGUCAUAGUGCUGACGAUGAUUCACUAGAAAGCGUUGAAAAUCAUCCAGUUGAUAUUGAUGAUGGCAAUUUUCCCUCAGCGUCUACAUUCAUGAAUCCAGACUUAAAUGACGUAUCAGAAUUCAACUACAGCAAUCAGGCACAGCAGAGUACUUGCUUCCAACCAGCUGUUGCAAGAGUUGAAGGAGAAGCAGGAGUCAGCAGCACAAAUGAUGGCGAGGAAGUUGUGAACACAGAAACUAUGACUGCACAUGCUAGGGAUGGGAUUAGUUUCGGUAUAAGUGGAGGAAGUGUUGGAAUGGGUGCCAGCUAUGAGGCAGAAAUUCAUGGUACUGAUGCAUCUGUUCACAGGUGUGAUAGUGUUGUUGGAGAUGCAGAACCAGUGGCUGAAGUUAUAGAAAAUCAGGGACAGACAGGGGAAUUUGCGCCAGAUCAUGGGCAUACAGAUGAUUUUAUUCCUGAAGAAAUGGAUCGAGAGGACCCACAUGGGGACAGCCAAGAUGUGGUGUCCCGCUCAGUAGGGAGGGCAGACAGCGGGUCGAAAAUUGUUGGUUCAACUAAGGCAGAAUCCAUUGAAAGUGGGGAUAAGACUGCUAGCAUGGAUAUGUUAGCACAAGAAAAUAUCGCUCAUCCAUCUCUUUCAUGUAAUGCUAUCGUGUGUUCUGGAUAUGAAGCAUCUAAGGAUGAGGUGAUGCAAGGAGGCCAGUCUUCUCCUGCAAAUGAUGGUGCUUACCUUGAGUCUGCUUUUGUGGCAGGAAAUGGCAUAGGUCCACCUGUUGCAGAGAGUAAUUAUGAAGGAAGUGUUGAAUUUGAUCCAAUUAAGCAUCAUAAUACUUUCUGCCCAUGGGUAAAUGGAAACGUUGCUGCCGCUGGAAGCACAAGUGAGGGUUCCAGUUCUUCUGCAAUUGCUACAGCUCUUUGUGGUUGGCAGCUGACCCUAGAUGCACUUGAUACAUUCCAAUCGCUUGGCCAUGUUCCAAUCCAAACUGUGGAGUCUGAGUCAGCUGCAUCAAGGCACAAGGAUGAGCACCUAACUCCCAGUCGAACUCUCUUGGCUUCCCACUCCUUCAGCAAAAGUCGUGGGCAAAACUAAAGAUCUGGUAGUGCAGGUUCAACAGUUGAUGAUCUUGAGUGGACACAACUCUACAUUUUAUGUGUCUAGACAUGGAGAUUCUGAUCGCUUUCUAUUAAAAUAUGUGUAGUGCUACUGGCAUGGAGUUGCAAGCAAACUGCAGAGAGGGCGGGCUAAUUGUCUACCUUGGAAGGUUUAUCUAUAGCAAUAAUCCACUGAUGCAAAAUGAAUGAGAUUUUGAAGAAUAACACACUGCAUCUUCGCGAAGACUGAUUUGAGCAUUUCUUGUUUUAGGGCAGCAAAUGUUAUCUAUUGGGAUGCGUUUCAACUGCGGACUAUUGUAAUCUAGAUUGAAGAAGUCUAGACUAUUGCUGUUCCUUUCUUUUUUUUUUGGCUCCGCGGACACUCUUAUUUGAUUAGCCUUUCUUAUGAGUUCGGUCUAGCUUCUUCUGGACGACA